rnacentral:tRNA from 1 species
GGAGAAGAUAUGUUCAAUGUGAAUCACAUUUGUUCAACCUGACUUUUAACUUCAUCAGGUAACAUCCUAGAAAAUAAGGAUGUUUUUUAAAGCAAGCAGACUUAGGUAGGGUUCAAAUCCCUAUCUCUCCGCCA